GAUGAACGCUGGCGGCGUGCUUAACACAUGCAAGUCGAACGGUGAACACGGAGCUUGCUCUGUGGGAUCAGUGGCGAACGGGUGAGUAACACGUGAGCAACCUGCCCCUGACUCUGGGAUAAGCGCUGGAAACGGCGUCUAAUACUGGAUAUGUGACGUGACCGCAUGGUCUGCGUUUGGAAAGAUUUUUCGGUUGGGGAUGGGCUCGCGGCCUAUCAGCUUGUUGGUGAGGUAAUGGCUCACCAAGGCGUCGACGGGUAGCCGGCCUGAGAGGGUGACCGGCCACACUGGGACUGAGAAACGGCCCAGACUCCUACGGGAGGCAGCAGUGGGGAAUAUUGCACAAUGGGCGCAAGCCUGAUGCAGCAACGCCGCGUGAGGGAUGACGGCCUUCGGGUUGUAAACCUCUUUUAGCAGGGAAGAAGCGAAAGUGACGGUACCUGCAGAAAAAGCGCCGGCUAACUACGUG
rnacentral:rRNA from 1 species